GGAAUAUUGGACAAUGGGCGCAAGCCUGAUCCAGCCAUGCCGCGUGAGUGAAGAAGGCCUUAGGGUUGUAAAGCUCUUUCACCUGCGAAGAUGAUGACGGUAGCAGGAGAAGAAGCCCCGGCUAACUCCGUGCCAGCAGCCGCGGUAAUACGGGGGGGGCUAGCGUUGUUCGGAAUUACUGGGCGUAAAGGGCGCGUAGGCGGUAUGCCAAGUCAGGGGUGAAAGGCCUGGGCUCAACCCAGGAAUUGCCUUGGAAACUGGCAAACGAGAGUCCGAAAGAGGAUGGCGGAAUUCCCAGUGUAGAGGUGAAAUUCGUAGAUAUUGGGAAGAACACCAGUGGCGAAGGCGGCUCACUGGCUCGGUACUGACGCUGAGGUGCGAAAGCGUGGGGAGCAAAC
rnacentral:rRNA from 1 species